rnacentral:rRNA from 1 species
AAUUUUUUAGAGAGUUUGAUCCUGGCUCAGGGUGAACGCUGGCGGCAUGUUUAAGGCAUGCAAGUUGAAUGUUGUUUUUAACAACAUGGCAAACGGGAGAGUAACACAUUGGU